rnacentral:misc_RNA from 1 species
UUCGCUUUUUACAUGAGGGAUACUCCUGUGCUUUCGAGCUUGCCACAGAGCUUGUAGCCGCUUGCAUCGACUUCCGCGCACGAGAUGAACUUUCACACCAACCCUUCGACACAGAUUUUCGCACAAAGACGCCUUCAGUCUGCUUGAGUGCACUCAAAAGAUACACGCAAGCUGUUCAGUUCGCUUGAAAGUAACACACGCUCUCGAUAUCUACGAAUGGCUUUCGACAAAGUUUUUCCAGGGUAGCACUCUGUCCGGGUUAUUGAGCAUCUCGACGUCACCGAAGAGGCGCACAUGCAGGCUUUCCUUCUCCACUGAGGUGCAUCAUACACCAUUCCCGCGUUCGAGCCGGCGUGCGGUCGAGGUCUUCCAAGGCUCUGCGCGUGCCUCCUUUGAUUCCAACGCUGCUGUAGCCGCAAGUGCCGUGGAUGGUACAGUUAGGAACACAGACUCUCUUUGUUUUUGGUAUUAACAGGCAUCCGUCCACAUAGCAAGACAGAGGCGACUGGCAAAGCGCGAAAUCGACAAGCCUGAGCGUAGGGAACCCGUCGACGAACCUCGAUGCGCUACUUUUGUUUCGCGAGGGGCAGCGGACAUGAACCACAACAUAAGCUGAUUUCACUAGUAAUUUGACAUUUGCCUGCAGAUGAUGCACGCUCUUCGCUUGACAGAAGGCAUCGACGAUGCCCUUGUUUUCUAUUAGCGGAGCACCGCUACCCCUGAGGGCUUCUAGACCCGACGCCCCGCGAAGCCGUACGCCAGUUGGAUGUGGUAGAUCUGGCAAC